rnacentral:rRNA from 1 species
GCUUACGGCCACACCGGCCUGAGUACGGCCUGAUCUCGUCCGAUCUCGGAAGCUAAGCAGGGUCGGGCCUGGUUAGUACUUGGAUGGGAGGACCGCCUGGGAAUACCAGGUGCUGUAAGCU